GCACCGAUGGCCUAGUGGCUAGCGCUCUUGCUUUCGAAAUUUGCAGCGCGGGUUCGAACCCCGAAGGUGGCA